AGGGUGAUACUGGAUCAAGUAACACUGGAUUCUACGAAUCAAGGAGAGAAUGGAUGGGAAAACGACAUUACGUGUUAGCAGUUGAAGACUCUGAUUGUGGAGAGUACAAAAUUUUCCGACCAAACUUGGGGAGUCUAUCAGGGAGAUGACACUAACAGAACUAAAAGAAAAAUAUAGAAAACUUUCAGCUCUUGAGAAAGCGCGUACUGGCUGGGAAGGUGAAUAUGAAGUUUCUUCCAAGCAGUGCAUGCACGGUCCCAACUGUAAAUUGGGCAGCUUCUGCACUACAGGCAGAAGGCUACAGGAAGUGAACGUUUUGGGUGGUCUCAUUCUUCCUGUUUUGGGGCACUGUUGAGAAGGCACUCUCCAAGCAGG